rnacentral:rRNA from 1 species
GAUGAACGCUGGCGGCGUGCCUAAUACAUGCAAGUCGAGCGAACGGACGAGAAGCUUGCUUCUCUGAUGUUAGCGGCGGACGGGUGAGUAACACGUGGCUAACCUACCUAUAAGACUGGGAUAACUUCGGGAAACCGGAGCUAAUACCGGAUAAUAUUUUGAACCGCAUGGUUCAAAAGUGAAAGACGGUCUUGCUGUCACUUAUAGAUGGAUCCGCGCUGCAUUAGCUAGUUGGUAAGGUAACGGCUUACCAAGGCAACGAUGCAUGGCCGACCUGAGAGGGGGAUCGGCCACACUGGAACUGAGACACGGUCCAGACUCCUACGGGAGGCAGCAGUAGGGAAUCUUCCGCAAUGGGCGAAAGCCUGACGGAGCAACGCCGCGUGAGUGAUGAAGGUCUUCGGAUCGUAAAACUCUGUUAUUAGGGAAGAACAUAUGUGUAAGUAACUGUGCACAUCUUGACGGUACCUAAUCAGAAAGCCCCGGCUAACUACGUG